GAUGAACGCUGGCGGCGUGCCUAACACAUGCAAGUCGAACGGAGUCCAGCCUUAGAGACCUUCGGGUCAAAGAGGGGAAGACUGAGUGGCGGACGGGUGAGUAACACGUGGGCAACCUGGCUCAUAGAGGGGGAUAACAGAGAGAAAUUUCUGCUAAUACCGCAUAAGCACACACUGCCGCAUGGCAGAGUGUGAAAAGAGAAUCGCUAUGAGAUGGACCCGCGUCUGAUUAGCCAGUUGGCAGGGUAAGAGCCUACCAAAGCGACGAUCAGUAGCCGAUUUGAGAGGAUGAACGGCCACAUUGGGACUGAGACACGGCCCAAACUCCUACGGGAGGCAGCAGUGGGGGAUAUUGCACAAUGGGGGGAACCCUGAUGCAGCGACGCCGCGUGAGCGAAGAAGUAUUUCGGUAUGUAAAGCUCUAUCAGCAGGGAAGAUAAUGACAGUACCUGAAUAAGAAGCCCCGGCUAACUACGUG
rnacentral:rRNA from 1 species